GACUCCUUGCCGGUGAAUGGCAGUGGAAGAGAACCCAUAGCAACUGCAGAAGAAAAGAAGUUGGAAUCCGAGAGAUCUGGAGAGCUUAGUGCAAAAGUAAAUCAGUUUAUAUUGAGACGAACGAAUGCCCUGCUAUCCAAUCACUUGCCACGAAAGAUUGUUGAAGUAGUGUGCUGCAAGCUGACUCCCUUACAGAUGACACUGUACAAUCACUUCACACACUCCAAAAAUGUUAAGCGCUUGAUAUCUGAAGAAGCAAAGAGUACUAAAGUUUUGGCAUAUAUUACUGCUCUUAAGAAAUUAUGCAACCAUCGAAGG
rnacentral:rRNA from 1 species